rnacentral:rRNA from 1 species
UACAGGGGGGGGCAAGCGUUGUUCGGAAUUACUGGGCGUAAAGGGUUCGUAGGUGGCCAACUAAGUCAGACGUGAAAUCCCUCAGCUUAACUGGGGAACUGCGUCUGAUACUGGAUGGCUUGAGUGUAGGAGAGGAAUGCGGAAUUCCAGGUGUAGCGGUGAAAUGCGUAGAUAUCUGGAGGAACACCGGUGGCGAAGGCGGCAUUCUGGUCUGUAACUGACGCUGAGGCGCGAAAGCGUGGGGAGCAAACAGG